GCGGGGUUAUUAUUGAUUUUCUCUCGCGAUUUUAACAUAUUUUUAGUUCCAGACAGAAGGCAGCCAUCUCGAAGUAUUUGCGAGUGUCUGUGUGUGUGCGAUGGGAAUUUUUUUCAAAUUGCUUUUUUAAUAUGGACUUUGCUGACGCUGCUUUUGCGUACAAUGGUUGUGCGAUGUAACGUCGCUUUAAAAUGUAUUUUAGGUUCUUGAUUUAUAUUGGAUGCAGUGUUGGUACUUCUAAUAUGUUGUACUUAAUUUUUUACUAAAUGUUUCUUUUUAUUGUUUCAGAUAUUUACUAUCUCGGUAUCAACUAGAGCGUCACCAGUAUACUACCACUUUCAGCAAUGAUCCUGCGUGACGUCUGAUGCAGAAUUGGUCUACGAUCUUCGCUACAACUAUUCUACCCCUCUUCUACGUAACCAGAGCAAUU